GCUCGGACACUGGACUCACCAGGCUGUGGGCUCAAAGAGAUUUGGUGCGGAUCAUUUACACUAAACCGGAUUAGUCACAUCGGCCAACUCCAUCUGAUGUGGUCUGACGUGGCCAUGUGUGGAGAAAGUGUUCCAUAAGAUCUACAGGAUCUCACUGUCACAUCAGGAACACGGACAAAAGAGUCCACGUGGUCGUCGUGGAAAUGGUUUGACUCAACUAUCCAGACGACACUGACAUCAGAGAGCAGACUCUCGGCCUUGUUUCCCUCUCAGAUUCUUAUUUUGUCUGAUCCAGGAAGCUAUUUCCUAAUCUGUCCAGUGGCGAUGCGUUGACAAAAGAGAUCAGAGGGAUGGAAAAUGGCUCUGUCUUUGUUCACAAUAAUAAUGGGAAGUCAUUA